AUUGAGCGCUGGCGGAAUGCUUUACACAUGCAAGUCGAACGGCAGCACGGACUUCGGUCUGGUGGCGAGUGGCGAACGGGUGAGUAAUGUAUCGGAACGUGCCCAGUCGUGGGGGAUAACGUAGUGAAAAUUACGCUAAUACCGCAUACGAUCUAUGGAUGAAAGCGGGGGAUCGCAAGACCUCGCGCGAUUGGAGCGGCCGAUAUCAGAGUAGGUAGUUGGUGGGGUAAAGGCCCACCAAGCCAACGAUCUGUAGCUGGUCUGAGAGGACGACCAGCCACACUGGAACUGAGACACGGUCCAGACUCCUACGGGAGGCAGCAGUGGGGAAUUUUGGACAAUGGGCGAAAGCCUGAUCCAGCCAUUCCGCGUGCAGGAUGAAGGCCCUCGGGUUGUAAACUGCUUUUGUACAGAACGAAAAGGUUUCUACUAAUACUAGGAGCUCAUGACGGUACUGUAAGAAUAAGCACCGGCUAACUACGUGCCAGCAGCCGCGGUAA
rnacentral:rRNA from 1 species